rnacentral:rRNA from 1 species
UACGGAGGAUGCGAGCGUUAUCCGGAUUUAUUGGGUUUAAAGGGUGCGUAGGCGGGCUGUUAAGUCAGCGGUCAAAUGUCGGGGCUCAACCCCGGCCUGCCGUUGAAACUGGCAGACUUGAGUUGGCGAGAAGUACGCGGAAUGCGCGGUGUAGCGGUGAAAUGCAUAGAUAUCGCGCAGAACUCCGAUUGCGAAGGCAGCAUACCGGCGGCGAUCUGACGCUGAGGCACGAAAGCGUGGGUAUCAAACAGG